GGAGGCUGGAAGUCAGAGGUCAACGUGUUGGCAAGGUUGGUGUCCUCUGAGGCCUCUGUCCUUGGCCUGCUAAUGGUGGCCUUCCUGCCACCUAUGUCUUCACAUGGUCUUGCCUUUGUGCAUGAGUGUGUCCUAAUCUUCUCUUAGUGGAUUAGGGCCCAUCCUGAUGACCUCAUUUUAACUUAGUCACCUCUUUAAAGCCCCUGUCUCCAAAUAAGGCCCCAUUCUGAGGUCCUGGGAGUUAGGGCUUCAGCACGUGGAUUUUGGAGGGAGACACAGUUCCACCCACAGCAUUACCCAUGUCUAUUUUGCCAGUGUGGAGUCAGUACAGGCUCCAGGACACAUCCACAGAGCACAGGCCACGUAGAGGGGAGCUCCUGUCUACAAGGAAAAGCUGGCAGAAAACCAACAAAGACAGCCUCUUGAUGGUGGUCUUCAAAAGAUGCAACAGGAUGCAAUGGCAGUUGACAAUGGGGUAACUGUUGGUUGUGAGAACCCUAAUCCUCUACCACAGGGAGGAGAAAGCUAACACCAAGUCCAACCCACAUCAACACGGGGGUGGGACACCCGUUAGGGGGCCAAGGCUGUAGUCCAGAAGAAAGGUGGAUGGAACUGGGGACAGAGCAGUAGCACAGGGAGAUGGGGGAGGAUGGGGUAAUUCAGAAUUUCCCUUUUUGAGAGUGGCAUCAACACAAUGUCAAAGUAGGAGUUCUCCGGCUUCUCUCCUCCCCAACAGAAUUUCAACUAGCAACAAUCCUGUGGCAAGUUUACCACCCUGAAUAUCCCAGAACUUGGAGUGAAGCUUUGCAUCCCCUGGGAUGGCAGAGCCAAGAAAAACCAUGAGGACGGUAAGGGGAUGGCUGCUUUCUGACCACGCCACUCCUCCCCAAGCCCGCACAGUGCCACACGCAGAGGAGUCCCUGGAUGCUCGGUUUCUCCAGUGGACACAGUGGAUGGGAGGUGGGCGUUCGGCUUCCCCACCAGUCUGAGACUUCACAGGAGACUCACUCUAGUCUUUUCCCGCAGGAAGCACUGUGAGUACCGGCAGGGUCAGCCCAACAAGGGUCAGUAAGAACUUCCCUUUUCAAAAGAUAAAGCGGUUCACAUAGACAGCUGUGGUGGACUCUUUCUGCUGCCUGUCCAACAGACUUCUGCACAUUUCCUAAGGACAGAACCGCAUUUUUGUACUAGAGCAGAGAUUCCGUGACAUCAGGAGAAGAGGCCCUUCCCCCAAUCCCAGGAGCCAAUAAACUCAUUCUUCUUUGCAAUUGUACAAUGACAUGCACAGGGAAGUCUUCCUUUCCAGGGUAUAAAGCACCAUUAGGAGAAAGUUUUUGGUUUGCCUUGGCCCUUAUUUUUUGUUUUGGGGAUUUUGCGUGUGACAACAUCACUCCUGAGCUGUGGCAGCCAUCUUACCAUCAUGAGGAAACCGCCACGGGGAUAAAAAGCCAGUCCUCUGAGGACCUGGAAGAAAGGACAGAACCUGGCUCCCAAGGCAUCACUGAGACCCAAAUCAACAGUAAGUAAGCACAGCACCUACUCCUGGGCUUCUUUUUAUGAGAGAAAAAAAAAGUUCCCAUUUGUGUAAAUCAUAGUGUUUGGUGUUCCUUUUCUUUUUUAGUUUUAAUUGUAUUUAUUUCCUCUCUUUCGGAUGGUUGAUUUAUUCACAUGGGUCAAAAUUCAAAAAGUAUCAAAGAGUAAACAGUGAAAUGUCUCUCUUUCACUCCUAUCCCCCAACCACCAAGGUCCCUGCUCUGGAAGCAACCAAUGUUACUGUUUCUGAUGCUUUUCCAGAGGUAAUUUAU
rnacentral:lncRNA from 10 species